rnacentral:rRNA from 1 species
UACAGAGGGUGCGAGCGUUAAUCGGAAUUACUGGGCGUAAAGCGUGCGUAGACGGUUAUUUAAGUCGGGUGUGAAAGCCCCGGGCUCAACCUGGGAAUUGCAUUCGAGACUGAAUAGCUAGGGUACGGUAGAGGGAAGCGGAAUUUCCGGUGUAGCGGUGAAAUGCGUAGAUAUCAGGAAGAACACCAACGGCGAAGGCAGCUCGCUGGGACGGUACUGACGCUGAGACACGAAAGCGUGGGGAGCGAACAGG